rnacentral:lncRNA from 1 species
CUAGCUAAUUUCUCUUCAUUUAAAAGUGCCUCAGUGUGCCCAUUGUGUUGGAUUUGAAUCUGAAUCUGAUGAAGUUUUUGUUCAGCAGAGAUGACAUGAUUAUGAACGUUACCAAAACAGUCCUUAUUCCAAAUCUUAAGUUUAUCCUUAAGAAUUUUCAACUUCUUGCUCAAGUUAAACAUAGGAUGACCUAACACCACAGUGUUCCAACAUUCU